GACGUAGGGAGCAAGCGUUAUCCGGAUUUACUGGGCGUAAAGCGUAUGUAGGCGGACUUUUAAGUGAGAAGUGAAAUUUCUGGGCUUAACCUAGAAAUUGCUUUUCAUACUGAAAGACUAGAGAAAUAAAGAGGUGAAUGGAAUUCCCGGUGUAGCGGUGACAUGCAUAGAUAUCGGGAGGAACACCAGAAGCGAAGGCGGUUCACUGGUUAUUUUCUGACGCUGAGAUACGAAAGCGUGGGUAGCAAACAGA
rnacentral:rRNA from 1 species